CAAACAACAAACAAACAAAACAAACAAACACACAAAAAACAUGGUAAAUGCAGCUUAUGGGGCACAGAAAUCAGCCUGAACUGAAUCCCACAACCUGAACAAAAAAGUGAGCACAGGCCUGCUGAUAACAAGAGUUCCAGCAGAAGCUGUGGAAGACUGAAAAAUGGCCCCAAAGAUACACAGAUAUGGGCACAUUUGCAGAAAGUGCAACAGAAUGAGCUAAGUAAUGCCCAAGCUUUCUGGCCAGAAGAUAGAAGAG
rnacentral:lncRNA from 1 species